CAGUAGCCGCGGGAAUACGAAGGGUGCAAGCGUUACUCGGAAUUACUGGGCGUAAAGCGUGCGUAGGUGGUGGUUUAAGUCCGUUGUGAAAGCCCUGGGCUCAGCCUGGGAAUUGCAGUGGAUACUGGGUCACUAGAGUGUGGUAGAGGAUAGUGGAAUUUCCGGUGUAGCAGUGAAAUGCGUAGAGAUCGGAAGGAACAUCUGUGGCGAAGGCGACUAUCUGGGACAACACUGACACUGAGGCACGAAAGCGUGGGGAGCAAACAGGAUUAGAUACCCCUGUAGUCCCUGUCUCUUAUAC
rnacentral:rRNA from 1 species